UACGUAGGGUGCGAGCGUUGUCCGGAAUUAUUGGGCGUAAAGAGCUUGUAGGCGGUCUGUCGCGUCUGCUGUGAAAAUCCGGGGCUCAACCCCGGACUUGCAGUGGGUACGGGCAGACUAGAGUGUGGUAGGGGAGACUGGAAUUCCUGGUGUAGCGGUGAAAUGCGCAGAUAUCAGGAGGAACACCGAUGGCGAAGGCAGGUCUCUGGGACGGUACUGACGCUGAGACGCGAAAGCGUGGGGAGCGAACAGG
rnacentral:rRNA from 1 species